rnacentral:rRNA from 1 species
AUUGAACGCUGGCGGCAGGCUUAACACAUGCAAGUCGAGCGGAGCGGCGGACGGGUGAGUAAUGCUUAGGAAUCUGCCUAUUAGUGGGGGACAACAUCUCGAAAGGGAUGCUAAUACCGCAUCCUAAUAGAUGAGCCUAAGUCGGAUUCGCUAGUUGGUGGGGUAAAGGCCUACCAAGGCGACGAUCUGGAGCGGGUCUUAGAGGAUGAUCCGCCAAACAGGGACUGAGCAAAGGCACAGAAUCAAACGUGAGGCAGCAGUGGAGAAUAUUGGGAAAUCGGGGGAACCCUGAACCAGCCAGGCCGCGUGUGUGAAGAAGGCAUUAUGGUUGUAAAGCACUUUAAGCGAGGAGGCGUUACUCGCAGAAUAAGCACCGGCUAACUCUGUGCCAGCAGCCGCGGUAAUUC